rnacentral:lncRNA from 1 species
CAUCACCCACAUCUCUGCCAUCCCCAUCGUCACCACCUGCUCACCCAUCGUCAUGGCCAGUGGCAACAUGAUGAUCACUCACCUGGCUUCUCAGACCCAAGGCUCAACCCUCAGAUGGGGACGUAGGACAGAGGACACGACUCUAGGAAGAUAGUGAGGAAUCUGGGCCCCAAGGUCUGAAACACCGCAGAUCUGCCUCCCCACUCGGCCGCUUUCUAGCUGUGUGACUUUGGGUAAUUGGCCCAACCUCUCUGAACCUCAGAGACCCAGUCUGUAAAAUGGGGUGAUCACAGAUCCUGCCUGCUAGGGUGGUGGGAAGGGACCCAGGAGCCAACACAGGGAAAGCCUGGCCCAGCGCCUGGCUCCAGUCGUAAAAGCAAAACAAACACAGGCAAACACACUGGCCGGGGGCAGCGGUUACGGAAAUGGCUCGGGGCGACCGGCUGGGAGUUCCCGGCAGCCUGGGUUUGGAGGAGCAGGUGCAGGUGUCGCCAGCGUGAGAACGGCCCCCGGGGCCAGUUUGCGGGCAGCUGGAGAGACCACUCGAGGGCCCGGGCGUGGAGCGCGGAGUGGGGAGCUGUCUCCUGGAUCAGGACUGAGAGUCCAGACCUGGCCCUGCAGCCUGACUGGUCCGAGAGCCACAGGGAGCUGGAUGGGGCUUCCCCAGGAAGCUCCAGCUACUGCCCGCUCCUGACCCCAAAGGUUCCCCAAAGCCGUAAGCUCAGACCCCACGGUGCAUGGCGGCCUUUCCCACGGGGAGACUGCCUUUUGGAUGACUUCUUCCUUUUUGAUGUCAGAGGGUCCUGGGUGUCUUCCCUCCAGCCUCAAGGGUAGCCAUGAACAGCUGAGCUGGUUGUGUGCUGCACAACUCCAGGAACGUCGGUCACACAGACUACGUGAUCCAUGACACCCCUAGAGAGGUGCAGUGCGCAUCCGACGCAGCCAUACCGGGCGGCUCUGCCAGACUCCUUCUUCCUUGGAGAGAGUGCAGAACAACUUUAGGUGGCCCAGCUCUAGCUGCAGCUCAAAGUAGAGCAAGGAUAAAUGACAUCUAAAUGCCAAUCAAGAACCAGAAGAGCCCAGGAUGGCUGCCCAAGCAAACCAAGCCGAUUGGUUGCUGUCCUUGAGAAGGCUGAGUCUGGGUGUUGCAGUGACUGGAGAUGGUGGUGGAUUAGUGACUGUUCUCAACACAGAUUUUAUGGGGUGGCCAUACGGCAAAGUAAUUAGGAGAGCAGGCCCUGGAGUCAGGCAGACUUGGGUUCCAUUCUGCCCUGACACUGUCACUGUGUGGCCUGGGGCAAAUUACUUGACCUCUCUGUGCCUCAUUUUUAUCUAAAAAGAAAUGGGUAUGUAAUAAUACACACAGAGGUAUAC